CUCCCAUUCGGUGCAUUGCUUGUUCUACGAACAGUGUGGUGAUUCACUGUUCGUGGAUAACCAAGCUGAAUACUAGCGAUAUUCGUGUGCUGUAACACACGAAUGCUUCAUACAUUGAUCUUUUAUUCGGGGAAACAAACAAUACGGGCAAUAGCAUAAAAUAUACAGUUACACUCAGUAAGUGGCUAGAUUUGCCACACGGUCGUUAGAUCAAAUUGAAUGCAGACAUCGUUGUCCUGUACGGGUAUGAGCCUGUGUGAUGAACAAAUGGACAGCACUGUAGUGAGUUGAGUGUAUGAGAGAG